rnacentral:rRNA from 1 species
GACGAACGCUGGCGGCGUGCUUAACACAUGCAAGUCGAACGGAAAGGCCCUGCUUUUGUGGGGUGCUCGAGUGGCGAACGGGUGAGUAACACGUGAGUAACCUGCCCUUGACUUUGGGAUAACUUCAGGAAACUGGGGCUAAUACCGGAUAGGAGCUCCUGCUGCAUGGUGGGGGUUGGACAGUUUCGGCGGUUGGGGAUGGACUCGCGGCUUAUCAGCUUGUUGGUGGGGUAGUGGCUUACCAAGGCGUUGACGGGUAGCCGGCCUGAGAGGGGGACCGGCCACAUUGGGACUGAGAUACGGCCCAGACUCCUACGGGAGGCAGCAGUGGGGAAUAUGGCACAAUGGGAGGAAGCAUGAUGCAGCAACGCGGCGUGCGGGAUGACGGCAUUCGGGUUGUAAACCGCUUUCACCUGAGACGAAGCGUGAGUGACGGUAAUGGGUAAAGAAGCACCGGCUAACUACGUG